rnacentral:lncRNA from 1 species
CUUGAAAUCACUUUUACUAGGAACAUUUGAGUCUCCUUUCCUCAGCUGUGACUGCUAGGACAGCUCUAGUUCAAAGAGGCCAGGAUGAAGAGUAAGAAAGAAAUCAUUGAGCUGCUGUGGAGAACUAUGAACAUGAUAAACAUGAAAAAUUAAAAUCCAGCUUUUCUUCCUGCCUUGGUGCCCUGCAGUUCGUGGACG